rnacentral:rRNA from 1 species
UCCGGAGGGGGCUAUCGUUGUUCGGAAUUACUGGGCGUAAAGCGCGCGUAGGCGGACCUGCAAGUCGGGGGUGAAAGCCUGAGGCUCAACCUCGGAACUGCCUUCGAUACUGCGGGUCUCGAGUCCGGGAGAGGUGAGUGGAAUUCCUAGUGUAGAGGUGAAAUUCGUAGAUAUUAGGAAGAACACCAGUGGCGAAGGCGGCUCACUGGCCCGGUACUGACGCUGAGGCGCGAAAGCGUGGGGAGAAAACAGG